UACGUAGGGGGCAAGCGUUGUCCGGAAUUACUGGGCGUAAAGGGCGCGUAGGCGGUACGACAAGUCGGGAGUGAAAGCCCGGGGCUCAACCCCGGGACUGCUUUCGAAACUGUCGAACUUGAGUGCAGAAGAGGCAACUGGAAUUCCCAGUGUAGCGGUGAAAUGCGUAGAUAUUGGGAAGAACACCUGAGGCGAAGGCGGGUUGCUGGGCUGACACUGACGCUGAGGCGCGAAAGCCAGGGGAGCGAACGGG
rnacentral:rRNA from 1 species